rnacentral:lncRNA from 1 species
UACUUGUUAUUACUUUCAACCCAAAAAUAUGGAUAAAAUCAAUUUACAACCGAGAGAAACAAAAUCGGUACAACAUACAAUCUUAAAAGAUUAAAUCUGAUAGACUACAUUGACGAGUUGUUAUUAGCAACAUCGGAUUACACAUGUUCAUCACUUCUCGAUUGAUGUUAAUCCAUGAAAGGAGCUAUAUAUAGGCUUCCCACUUUCCUCCACAACUAAAUCCACCACAUGCUUUGAAGCUCGAAAUCACUAUCGAGUGGACAUGGAAACUCCAUAUCUAAGAACGAAGUCGCAACCACCCCUGACCAAGUUGAAGACGAGCUGAGAUUGGAACCGCAUUGGCAAGAAGUAAUUUGAAAUUGCCAUCUCAAAAAUCACCACUCUAAAAUUUGACCUCUGCCGCUUCCAAGCCUCCCUGACCUCGACUCUACACCGGAGUCAGUCACCAUCAAGCCGAGUGUUCACCGGGGCCCCGAAUAGGAGCUCGAGAUAUCAAUGACGUCGCUAGGGGUUGACAUCUCACAGAGGGGAAAACAAAAGAAAAUAGGAGGCAAAGAGAAAAACAAAGAAAGGGAGAGGAAGUGCGACCUGCUUCGGCUUGUCGAGCACCGCGCCAGAGGAGAACGGUCACCUUAAGGACUACUUUUCUUUGAGAGGAAAUAAGAGAGGAAUUGUUGUCUGAGUUAAUACUCUUUUGAUUCAUCAUAUUUAGUAUCUAUCGAAGUAAAAAAGAUUUCAAAUUAGAAGUCAUAAUUUUUCUCAGUAUAAAAACAUAAGUUGAUGGUGAUGCAUUUACAAGAUCUGAUAAAUUAUGUAAGACAAUUGAAUGAGGAUAUCAAAAUUAAAGGAAACUCAA